GAUGAACGCUGGCGGCGUGCCUAAUACAUGCAAGUCGAGCGAACGGACGAGAAGCUUGCUUCUCUGAUGUUAGCGGCGGACGGGUGAGUAACACGUGGAUAACCUACCUAUAAGACUGGUAUAACUUCGGGAAACCGGAGCUAAUACCGGAUAAUAUUUUGAACCGCAUGGUUCGAAAGUGAAAGACGGUCUUUCUGUCACUUAUAGAUGGAUCCGCGCUGCAUUAGCUAGUUGGUAAGGUAACGGCUUACCAAGGCAACGAUGCAUAGCCGACCUGAGAGGGGGAUCGGCCACACUGGAACGGAGACACGGUCCAGACUCCUACGGGAGGCAGCAGUAGGGAAUCUUCCGCAAUGGGCGAAAGCCUGACGGAGCAACGCCGCGUGAGUGAUGAAGGUCUUCGGAUCGUAAAACUCUGUUAUUAGGGAAGAACAUAUGUGUAAGUAACUGUGCACAUCUUGACGGUACCUAAUCAGAAAGCAACGGCUAACUACGUG
rnacentral:rRNA from 1 species